rnacentral:lncRNA from 1 species
AGGACAUGUUUAGUAUUGGAUUUAGCUACUGUCCACUACCACUCUUUAUAGUUUCUUAAUAGACAAUGGAUUAGAAGCUUCCCACAGGAAUAAUUUCUCUUUUUCUGAUUACCUUUUUGCCGACAUAAUAAAAAUCGGUGGUCCCUAUUGUUUUUACGAAGCAAUUUGGUGAUCUGUUUUUAUGUGCGGGAUACAAUUAAAGUAGAAAAAAAAGGAUUUAACUCUUUUUUGAGUGGUUCAAAAUAAAAAGUUAGUUUAAAUGUUCCUCGGGUGGAUAUGAGCCUUGUUAAUAUUUGAUCAUUUAUUUUUUUUAUAUUUUUUGAAUAAUCAAUACUUAAUAUGAACAAGGAAUCCAGCUCCAGUUGAGCCUUUAAACAAGCAGGAAUAGUAAAAAAAAAAGGAAGGGGAACUAUCUGGCUUUUAUCUGCAUGCUUUGCAAGAAUAUGAGCAGAAGAGUUCCUAGACCUGUUACAAUAAUUAAAGCAUACAAAUCAAAUAAGCUACAAGUAGAAAGAAUCAUAUCCAAGAGAUUGGUUGCAGUCCACGAUAGGUUGUGUAACACCCAUGAGUUGGUGUUAGUCCCACAUUGCCUAGUAAGUGGUUGUUUCGGUAGUAUAUAGAGCUUAACCGUACUCUAACUAAUGUCAAGGCCUUUUGGGGUAAACCACAUGGGUGGGCCCUGAUCCAAAACCCUCUACUGCUGGAUAUCAGCAGUGAUUAAAGGGGGACAAUAUUGACAUUAACGAGCGGUAUGGUGCUCGACGCACCGGGAUGAGCGAGGACGAAAUCUCGGGGCGUUACAGGUUGGUUGGUUUACUGUGAGGUAGUUUGCUGCACUCAAACAGUCGGUUUCAAUUUCCACUCCUUUGUUGUUGUCGGAUGCAUCUUGUACAGGCCGGUAGUUUCCCCAAUCUUUCAUGAACAUAAAUUGUAGGUUCAUUUAUUGUUAGAUUUUCUUGCUUCUACAGGUAAUUUCAUGGACCUUUUUCCUUUAUAAAAUUGUACUCUAUGCAUUUAUGUUGAUCUGUUGUACAUGACACUUAUUUGUUCAUAUUAUACAGAAGCAAUGCAUGUUAAUCUUCUUACACAUCUUGAAUCUAUUUUGUCUAACGUUUUGCAGGCAGUUUUGUCUCAAAGUGAUUACUCCACGGACGACAUACUAAACACCAUGAGUCCUAGACAAUGAUUGGGAGCUUUAGCAAACUGUAAAGUGUAAGCAUACAAGAGUUCCUUUAUGGAAUUAUAGAUAUGUUCUUUUUUACAAUAGCAAAAGGUUGUUAUGCUGGAACAUUAGAAUUAGAACAAUGUAUCUUCCUGAGGAUUCAAUAUGAAAUAGACAUGAUAUAUGCAGAAGCACACUGAUAAACACGUAUAUUAGAUAAGGUAAGACUAUAAUUACAAACUAUAAUCCCAACAUUAAAUCUGUUGGAAGUAGUAUUAGUUGGAAAA